CCACAGCCCCGAUUGCAGUGGAAAUCCUUUUUCUUUUCUUUCACAUAAGGAAAAGAAAAAGAUUGUAGCUCCAAAUAAUUACA
rnacentral:misc_RNA from 1 species